UAAUGUCGNGAACUCCAGGGNGNCUNCCGGUGAUAAACCGGAGGAAGGUGGGGACGACGUCAAGUCAUCAUGGCCCUUACGAGUAGGGCUACACACGUGCUACAAUGGCGCAUACAGAGGGCAGCAAGCUAGCGAUAGUGAGCGAAUCCCAAAAAGUGCGUCGUAGUCCGGAUUGGAGUCUGCAACUCGACUCCAUGAAGUCGGAAUCGCUAGUAAUCGUGGAUCAGAAUGCCACGGUGAAUACGUUCCCGGGCCUUGUACACACCGCCNNUCACNNCAUGGGAGUGGGCUGCAAAAGAAGUAGGUAGUU
rnacentral:rRNA from 1 species